UGGUCAAGUUAUUAAGGGUGCAGGGCGGAUGCCUUGGCACUAGGAGCCGAUGAAGGACGUGAUAAGCUGCGAUAAGCUUCGGGGAGUUGCACGUAAACUUUGAUCCGAAGAUUUCCGAAUGAGGAAACUCACUUAGAGUAAUGUCUAAGUAUCAUUAAGUGAAUACAUAGCUUAAUGAGGGGAACUCAGGGAACUGAAACAUCUAAGUACCUGAAGGAAGAGAAAGAAAUUCGAUUCCGUAAGUAGCGGCGAGCGAACGCGGAUUAGCCCAAACCAAUAAAGUUUUCUUUAUUGGGGUUGCGGACAUAUCAUAACGAAGAGGUAUCGUAAUUGAAGAGGUUUGGAAAGACCCACCACAGAAGGUAAUAGUCCUGUAUGUUAAACGAGAAGACUUUAGAUAUGAUCCAGAGUACCACGGGACACGUGAAACCCUGUGGGAAGCAGGAGGGACCACCCUCCAAGGCUAAAUACUACCUAGUGACCGAUAGCGUAUAGUACCGUGAGGGAAAGGUGAAAAGAACCCCGGGAGGGGAGUGAAAUAGAACCUGAAACCCUGCACUUACAAGCUGUGGAAGCACAUUUCUUGUGUGACCGCGUACUUUUUGUAGAACGGGCCAACGAGUUACGUUAAGUAGC
rnacentral:rRNA from 1 species